AGCGCCCUCAGCAGCUCAGCGUUAAGUGAACGAGAGGCCUCCCGGCUCGACAAGUUCAAGCAGCUCCUUGCCGGCCUGAACACAGACCUCGGGCUGAGAUGCUUCUAGAUCAGUACCGAAAGAAGUCAAAGCUCUUCCAUACUACAGUUGUCCUGGCCCCACUAGGAGAUGAUUUUCGCUACUGUGAACGCAUAGAAUGGGAUCAUCAGUAUAAGAAUUAUCAGCUGCUUUUUGAUUAUAUGAAUUCUCAUCCUGAGUAUAAUGUUAAGAUACAGUUUGGGACUUUAUCAGAUUAUUUUGAUGCACUGGAUAAAGAAGAUGUAACCAUUAGAAAGAAUAGCCAAUCCAUGUUCCCUGUUCUAAGUGGAGAUUUUUUCACUUAUGCUGACCGAGACGAUCAUUACUGGAGCGGCUAUUUUACAUCCAGACCCUUCUACAAACGAAUGGAUAGGAUAUUGGAAUCCCAUCUAAGGGCUGCUGAAAUUCUUUACUAUUUCGCCCUGAAACAAGCUCAGAAAUACAAGAUAAGUAAAUUUCUUUCAUCAUCCCAUUACAUGGCACUGACAGAAGCCAGAAGAAAUUUGGGACUGUUUCAACAUCAUGAUGCUAUCACAGGAACUGCAAAAGAUUGGGUGGUUGUGGAUUAUGGUACCAGCCUUAUGUUUACACAACACUGCCCUUUGUCAGAGUGCAACGUGGAAGGUUUUACUCAGACGUGACUUGCUUUUUGGAACAUGUUACCCAUAGGGUCCGACUGUACAACAUCCAAGGAAUAGACGGACAGUCUGUGGAAGUGUCCAAUAUCGUGGACAUCUGAAAAGAACAUAACCGUGAGAUUGCAAUGAGAAUUUCUUCUAGCAUAAACAGUCAAAACAAAUUCUAUACUGACCUGAAUGGAUAUCAGAUUCAGCCCAGAAUGACGAUGAGCAAAUUGCCUCUUCAAGCAAAUGUCUAUCCGAUGACCACAAUGGCCUAUAUACAGGACACCAAGCAUCGCUUGACAUUACUCUCAGCUCAGUCUUUAGGGGUUUCAAGUUUGAAAAGUGGUCAGAUUGAAGUUAUCAUGGAUCGAAGACUCAUGCAAGAUGAUAAUCGCGGCCUUGAGCAAGGUGUCCAUGAUAACAAGGUUACAGCUAAUUUAUUUCGACUACUACUGGAAAAAAGAAGUGUGAAUACGGAAGAAGAAAAGAAGUCAGUCAGUUAUCCUUCUCUCGUUAGCCACAUAACUUCCUCUUUCCUGAAUCAUCCUGUCUUUACAAUGACAGAAAAGAUCCCCGUGUCCACCCCUCAGCUGCUAGGUGAAUUCUCUCCGUUACUGUCAUCUUUGCCUUGUGACAUUCAUCUCGUUAAUCUGAGGACAAUACAGGGGCGCCUGGGUGGCUCAGUUGGUUAAGCGACUGCCUUCGGCUCAGGUCAUGAUCCUGGAGUCCCGGGAUCGAGUCCCGCAUCAGGCUCCCUGCUCGGCAGGGAGUCUGCUUCUCCCUCUGACCCUCCCCCUUCUCAUGUACUCGCUCUCUCUCAUUCUCUCUCUC